AUUGUCGCUUAUUUUGGUCGAUAGUAUUGUUGGUGCGGUCUGUAAGCAGAACUGGUGAUGUGGGAUGAACCGAACGUCCGGCUAAGGUGUCCUACGCUUCGUCCAUUAGAUCCCCGAAAUGGUGUCGUUCAAGUAGACAGCAGGAUGGUGGCCACAGAAGCCCGAAUCCGCUCAGUAGUGUGCAACAACUUACCUGCCGAAUCGACUGGCACCGAAAAUAGAUGGCGCUGGAGCGAGCGAUCGAUGCCGGGUGACAGAUAGCGCGAUCGCUGGCGAGGAGACUUUCCGAUGCGCGGUUGAGUA
rnacentral:ncRNA from 1 species